AUACGGCCACAUCAAGCUGAAUCACCGUUUCUCGUACGACCACCGAAGUUGAGCAACGUCGACUCUGAUCAGUACCUAGAUGGGUGACCGCUUGGGAAUACCAGGUACUGUAAG